ensembl:processed_transcript 2500004C02Rik RIKEN cDNA 2500004C02 gene
AUAGCCUCAUUAAGCAUGAAGAGAAAGUAGUACUUCCAGAGGUCUGUAUAAGGUGACCUUUGAAAGUUAACAGGGGUGCCAUGGGCUGAGUAAGAUAAACGGAACUGCUGUUCAACCCCGCCCAGUCUGGGGAUGAGUCAUUGUUUUCAAAUUUAUGAACAAAGCACACAAAUUAAGAAUAAUACAAGCAAGAAACAGCAGAGAGACACAAAAGGACAUAGAAUCCCUGAUCCUCACUGUGAUCUGGUAACACUAGUUCUAGGGCUGGAGAGAGAGAUGCUCAGGGCAAGUGCUCUUACAGAGAACAUGAGUUCAAUUCCCAGAACCCACAUGGUACCUCACAACUGCCUAUUUCAUACAUGUGGGGCAGAACACCGAUACACAUACUUUUUUUUUUAAGAA